GAGACAAUAAACAGACACACCUGUAGUUGUUCCCAAACUUUAUUAUAGGGAAAAGUCACCUGGAGAACUUGUUUAAAUUGUGGAUUCUCCCAAAACCACCCCACCCUAGCCCCAGAAGAUCAGAUUCAGUUGAUCUGGAUGAGCCUAGGGCUCUACAUUUGCCACAAUCUCCGCAGUGAUCCUGAGGGAGGAGAAACCCCAGGGAAAAUAUGGCUAAUGAGGAUGAAAAAACAGACAAGAGGUGGAACUUCAAUGAAGAGGAAAACUCUUCCUAGCCUUGGUCGAGAGCGAGCACACUAAAACUCUGCCCUGAAAGAGGUGCAUGACAUCUAGUUUGAAUAGAAGACUCCUGAAUUAUAACUCUUUUUCUUUCUGUAAUUCAUAGAUAUUAUUCCAGUCUUCUGCAUUCUAGUGUUGCAGAUGCUCUUUAUUUAGAUGAGGAAGCUACCUUCUGUUUGCUGAAUGUAUUAUUAUAAAUCUCCAAGUGUUUCUUGAACUCAUGGGGGAAACCCCCUCACUAGUAGUCUCUGCUGGUGCUUCUACAGAACUGAA